GGAAUUAUUGGGCGUAAAGGGCUCGCAGGCGGUUUCUUAAGUCUGAUGUGAAAGCCCCCGGCUCAACCGGGGAGGGUCAUUGGAAACUGGGAAACUUGAGUGCAGAAGAGGAGAGGGAAUUCCACGUGUAGCGGUGAAAUGCGUAGAGAUGUGGAGGAACACCAGUGGCGAAGGCGACUCUCUGGUCUGUAACUGACGCUGAGGAGCGAAAGCGUGGGGAGCGAACAGGAUUAGAUACCCUGGUAGUCCACGCCGUAAACGAUGAGUGCUAAGUGUUAGGGGGUUUCCGCCCCUUAG
rnacentral:rRNA from 1 species